CAAAUAAUCAAGGAUUCAUUGACAGUGUUUCCACUCAUCCUGUUUGGGAUGUGCAUUGGGGUUGGCCUGUCCAGCCAGCCCCAAAGGUAGCUCCUGUGCUGCGCUGCCACUGUGCGUUCAGUCUUGCUGCCCCCUAGGUAUCCAAAUCUGAGCAUCCAAGAGAGCUAGUCUAGUGCUACACCUCUUAAUAGUGUUCAAACAGAGAGAGCACCACCUGCUCUGGAGAACUGUGAACGUUGGCUGCGACAGGAGGGGGAGCUCUCAGCGCAUGAGGCAGAGAAAGGGGGCUAGUGGGGAGCGCGGCUCUCCCAAACCGGAGAGGGGCAGGGGGGGAGAGCGGCUCUCACCCUGUCGCAGGAGUACCUGCGUGUCACUGAUGGCUGCUGCCACUCAGCCCAGAACAGAAAAACAGGAAUGAAUAUUCAGCGAUGAAUGCCAGUGGAAAUGUUGAUGGGAGGAACAAAGUACAAAUUAAGAAGCUUUGGGAAUCUUCUUAAUGUGUGUCUGUUUUUAUUGCUAUUUCUGCGGAUUUCUUUGCUAUGUGUUAUAUUGUUUAACUGAGGAAAAGGAAAACAGAAUAUGUGUUUACUGUGCACUAAGCUGUAAGUACCUUUUUCAGACAUCAUAAUCAU